CCUACGCCAGACCGGCCUCGACAUAUUUGGAAGACUAAAGUGAUGGUUUGACAAGGAAACUGCACCACAACCGCGAAAAACACUCAUGCGAGCUAAUCUCCUUUAUGACCUUUGGAAAUGUUUGUUGUGAGAGCCGAAAGCGUUUGAGAAUACGUGCUAUAUAAUUAUGAGGAAGUGGUGACCUGAAAAAUAGCCCUGAGGUUAAGUUAGGCUAAUGGGAAUGAGGGGAAAGGAGGAAAGGGAGGAAGUAGGUGAAAGUGGGCAAAGAAAAGGAAGAAGGUAGUUUGCGGGCUUUUUAUGGUUAAGAAAGUAGUAUGGUUAAGAGAGUAUGGUUAACCCCUUGAGUGCGGUUUCCUACAAGAAGACAUCAAGCUACAGGAAUGGAACAAAAAGUGGCUGCUACAAUUCAAUGAAGAAAAACGUAAAGUUCUGCACCUUGGGGAGGAGAUAUCCAGUAUACCAAUACCACAUGGGAAACACUCCAUUAUCCACCACAGAGACAGAGAAAGACCUCGAAGCAUAUGUUACCAGGCUACCAGUGAAAACCAAAUCCGUGCCAAUCGCAGCGGACGGGUUAAGUAUGGUUAAGAAAGUAGUUUGCGGGCUGUUUAUGGUUAUGUGCCCGUAAUAAUCUUAGACGUAUCGGCGCCUCAGUUCACCUAUUUAAAAAGUCUCUCGUAGAAGCUGCUGGGAUUUCCGUGGACUCUUUUGUGAUCCUAGUGUUAGUUUUACACGACCUCUGCGCCCUCAACUGGAAAAUCACCCUUGAAAACCAGGUUAAUCUUCUCUGUGGCAAAAUAGUCGUAAUGGGAUCAUCAUACGUUUAAAAAUUUGAACCUUGAAGAACUCUUGCCUCGGCGCGGUGACAAAGGCAUCAAGGACAGUACACAGAGGCAUGACCGUGAAUUUUACAUGCCCAUUUCCUCAAGCAUUUGGGGGCUAAUACACCCACGUUCCAUAAGGCUUUAGUAGAAGUUUUGGUGGAUAUUUCCGUGGGUAGUUUUAUAAGCCUAGUAUUACUUUGGCAAGAUUUCUGCACCAUGAACAUAUCCUCAAGCAUUUCGGAGCUAACACACCCACGUCCCAUAAGGCUUUAGUAGAGGUUUUGGUGGGUAUUUCCAUGGGUAGAUUUAUAAUGAUAGUGUUAGUUUGACAAGGUUUCUGCACCAUGAACAUAUCCUCAAGCAUUUCGGAGCUAACACACCCACGUCCCAUAAAGCUUUAGUAGAGGUUUUGGUGGGUAUUUCCAUGGGUAGAUUUAUAAUGAUAGUGUUAGUUUGACAAGGUUUCUGCACCAUGAACAUAUCCUCAAGCAUUUCGGAGCUAACACACCCACGUCCCAUAAAGCUUUAGUAGAGGUUUUGGUGGGUAUUUCCGUGGGUAGUUUUAUAAGCCUGGUGUUAGUUUGAUAAGGUUUCUGCACCAUGAACAUGAUAAAACAUUCUUGAAAACUCAUAUCCUCAAAAAAUUCGGGGCCUAUCACACUCACGUUUCGUAAGGCUUUAGUGGAGGUUUUGGUGGGCAUUUCCAUGGGUAGUUUUAUAAGCCUAGUAUUAGUUUGAUAAGGUUUCUGCACCAUGAACACGAAAAAACAUUCUUGAAAACCCAUAUCCUCAAGUAUUUCGGGGCCAAUCACACCCACGUCCCAUACGGCUUCAGUAGAGGUAUUGGUGGGCAUUUCCAUGGGUAGUUUUAUAAGCCUAGUGUUAGUUUGAUAAGGUUUCUGCACCAUGAACACAAAAAAACAUUCAUGAAAACCCAUAUCCUCAAUCAUUUCGGGCUAUCACACCCACGUCCCAUACGGCUUCAGUAGAGGUUUUGGUGGGCAUUUCCAUGGGUAGUUUUAUUAGCCUAGUAUUAGUUUGACAAGGUUUUUGCACCACGAACACGAAAAACAUUCUUGAAAACUCAUAUCUUCAAUCAUUUCGGGCUAACACACCCACGUCUCAUAAGGCUUCACUAGAGCUUUUGGCAGGUAUUUCCAUGGAUAGUUUUAUAAGCCUAGUGUUAGUUUGACAGGAUUUCUGUAUCAUGAACAGUUGAACACGAAAAAACAUUAUUGAAAACCCACAUCCCAAGCAUUUCGGGGCUUACACACCCACGUCUCAUAAGGUUUUAGUAGAGCCUUUGAUGGAUAGUUUUAUACAUAAGCCUUGUAUUACUGUGACAAGCUUUCUGCACCAUGAACAUGAAAAUCACUUAAGAGAACGUGACUAAUCUUCUUUGGAAAUAUUUGUUCUGUGAGCCGAAAGCGUCUGAAAACAUACAUAUCCUAGUCCUACAAACGGUCACACGCGUCAAUGAGAUACUGAUACAGACAUGCUGGGAGAGAGCCUUGAGUGUUGUACCUUCUAAAUAUAACGCCUAAUUGUCUGUGUAAAUUCAUCAGCUCCUACGCAUUGUUGGCAAUCACAUGAGGGAGAAAAAACGUAAAAUGGAAUACUGAAUGAAGUACAAAAACGAACCACGUACUGUGAUAAUGAAAAAUGUUUAUCAGCCUCCAUUUUUGUCAGUCGAUCACUUUCACAUCUAAUCUCAGUUUUCCAUGAGCUGUUUUGUCUUCCUGGAACGAGUGCUGGCUGAUAGGGCGCAUCCAAAUUGACGGAGACACUGAGCGAAUUCUUAAAUAUUUUGCCGCCCGACCACACACAUUUGACAAGGCUUUCGUGCGAGUUGUGGGCAUUCCCAGAGGUGGCGUAUGACCCUGGAGAUAGUCUGACGAUUCUCCUGUACAAUAAACGUGAAAGGAACGCUCAUUAGAACCCGACUCAUCUCCUUUUCGGCCUUUGGAAUUUAUUGAUGUGAGAGGCGGAAGCGUCUGAGAAUAUCGACCUAGAUUCCCCCCCAGCAGGUCAGUCAAUCACGUGAAUCGUUACAAAGUUGACGUGGCGUUCGUCCAUCACGUUGGCAUAAGGUCAGGUUAUCGUGGACAGGAGAGAGCCACACACACACACACACACACACACACACACACACACACACACACACACACACACACACACACACACACACACACACACACACAGACGGCAAAAAAUCAAAAACGUGUAGAACUUCAGCUGUAAAUACACAUACGUAAGAAACAACUCUAUAUACACACACACCACAUUUAUUAUUGCUGUAACUCAAUUCUGCAGUGUAGAGUAUUUCCAUACAUACUACCCACAAAUUUUAGAGUUCAAAGCCGCUUGUGUAUACUCCAUUCAUGUUAACCUUGACUAUAAGCCCCUCCCACCCCAGUCAAGCAUCCACCAAUAAGAUUCAGCCAUUCCCUUUAUCCGCCAAUCACAGGGAACGAGGUGGGGAGAGGGGCGUGGUCUGAUUGGUGGCUGGCCAUUGAUAAACACGCAUUAGUGGAAGGGGGCGGGGCUUCUCUGCCAACUUAACGUGGAUAUAGUGUCAGGUCCCUCCACGCGCAGUUUUUCAUGACGUCAUCGGCAGUGGGAUGAAGAAAACGAUAAGGAAGGUUUUAUGGGAGACUUAGAUACUUUUUUAUAAUGGCAGUUUUUUUUUUUUUUUUUUUUUUUAACUUGUCACGGCGCACAAAGGGAGAAACUUGGUACGAGGAUGAAAGACUUGAUAUUUUCUUGAUCUUGAUGUAUGAUGUGUAUGAAGUAUGUAUGUAAAGUGUAAGUUGAAGGAGAUUCCAACCCCCGACCACCUCCCCCAUCACCACUACCAUCACCACCUCCCUAUCAAAAGGUCAUCACUACCACCACCAUCACCACAUCAGAACAUCAUCACCACCACCACCAUGUUAAUGAUCACCACUCCCCCAUCACCUCCACCACUACCUCCAAAGCAAAACACCAUCAUCACCACCACCAUCACCACCACCACCAC